GAAAAAACCAGGAAAAAGAUAUCUAACAAAACCACUAGAUUAAAUUUCCCCUCUAUCAUAAAAUCUACCCACUAGCAAGUGCGUCUAAAUAACACAAAGGCGCUGGUGAACUACCCCAGGCAUGCAACACUAACCGCAACACUAGACAGCUUGAGUGUGUUGCCUACGGGUGGUACAGUGCUAGGAUAUCAACACUAUCAUGCAACACAAAUUAUCAAAACUACUCCUGUACACUAUGCAAGCUAACUAUUUCCUAUGUAACUAUUUGAGGGCUUGUAGGGCUUUGGUAGAGGUUGUUGUGUUAGUGUUUCCAUGGGUAGUGUUACGAGCAUAGUGAUAGUUUGACAAGGCUUUGGUAGAGGUUGUUGUGUUAGUAUUUCCAUGGGUAGUGUUAUGAGCCUAGUGAUAGUUUGACAAGGCUUUGGUAGAGGUUGUUGUGUUAGUGUUUCCAUGGGUAGUGUUACGAGCAUAGUGAUAGUUUGACAAGGCUUUGGUAGAGGUUGUUGUGUUAGUAUUUCCAUGGGUAGUGUUACGAGCAUAGUGAUAGUUUGACAAGGCUUUGGUAGAGGUUGUUGUGUUAGUAUUUCCAUGGGUAGUGUUACGAGCAUAGUGAUAGUUUGACAAGGCUUUGGUAGAGGUUGUUGUGUUAGUAUUUCCAUGGGUAGUGUUACGAGCAUAGUGAUAGUUUGACGAGGCUUUGGUAGAGGUUGUUGUGUUAGUAUUUCCAUGGGUAGUGUUACGAGCAUAGUGAUAGUUUGACAAGGCUUUGGUAGAGGAGGUUGUUGUGUUUGUGUUUCCAUCCUUUUCUCUCCAUUUCCACAAUCUCCCCAUACCUUCCCUCCCCUUUUCAUAUCUUUCCUCUCUCACCCUCUUCCUCCUCCCCUUCCAGAUCUUCCCUCUCCCCUUCCCUCACACUUCCAUAUCAAGCCUCUCCCUUCCUCUUCCCUCUCCCCUACCUUCCCCCCACCUUCUCCCUCCCU